rnacentral:tRNA from 1 species
UAUUACUUUGGCAGAUUAGUGCCAUGAAUUUAGAAUUCAUAAAUGUAUAUUAUACAAGUAAUAU